rnacentral:rRNA from 1 species
UACGUAGGGGGCAAGCGUUGUCCGGAUUCAUUGGGCGUAAAGAGCGUGUAGGCGGCCAGGUAGGUCCGUUGUGAAAACUCGAGGCUCAACCUCGAGAUGUCGGUGGAAACCGCGUGGCUAGAGUCCGGAAGAGGAGAGUGGAAUUCCCGGUGUAGCGGUGAAAUGCGCAGAUAUCGGGAAGAACACCCAUGGCGAAGGCAGCUCUCUGGGACGGUACUGACGCUGAGACGCGAAAGCGUGGGGAGCGAACAGG